AGUGCUCUAACCACUGGACUAUCGCGGAAGUAUAUAGAUUGCUAAAAGAAGUGUUUACCGUUAUGAAGUACAUUCAUAUAAAAUAUAAAUAAACUUGUAUUAGUUUGUCCAAUUCAAACUGAUUUAUGCACGAUAUCUUUUCGAUUACUUAUAUAAGAUGAAAUGUUUCAUGUUUCACCUCUGAUCCUAUGUUUAAGUGAAAAUAUGUCAAAAUAAGUGCAUCACAGUCAAGCACAAGGGUUUAAUAUAUACGCCCUCCUUUCUUUUCCCAUCUCUCGGAAGAAAUGUGUCAUUGAACGCGUACCUGAAUACUGUACCACCACCACGUCUAUUUCCCUUACGUCAUAAACCUUUACUUUCGCAGGAAAUCUUUGUCCUUGUGUCUCCUCGUGGUGGUCGUUGGGUCGUGCUCGGGUCAGAGUAUCCAGCAGCUGCUCAACAACAUCGGCAUCAACAACCCCACAACCUUUGGGGAAAUCCGACAAAUCUUCCAUAAAGAUAACCAAAACAAUGUAGUAUCCUGUUUGGUCACUGGCUCGUCUGCCGAUGGUGGACCGUGCGAUCCAAGGACAAACACCUUCAGGAACCUCUUGACGCAACUUGACAGCAACAAUUACAACUGCAACUGCCCGGAGCAAGGUCAGGUCGAUGCCAUCACCAAUCUAAUCAGAAAUAACCUUGGUGCAGCAAACUGCAAUACCGUGAGGAACGCGUUGCAGCUGCAAAACUUACGUUGUUAAAGAAGACGAACAGUCCAGUUGGUGUGGAACUAAGAAGAUGAGAGAGUUUGUUUUUGAAGAAAGAUACAACAGCGUAAGAAUACACAGGCGAUUCCCCUGCGCGCCUGAGCAUACAGAAAUUUUCAAAUGCUUGCCACAUAUGGUGAAAUAAAGGCGGAGAACAGGA